rnacentral:lncRNA from 1 species
GACAAUUUAAUAUACAUAUUCAUCAAAAGAACUAAAGCGAUAAAUACUUACUGAAGAGGCACUUAGUCCUCACAACGAAGAAAUCUGCAGCGGAAAAAUAAAAAUAAAAUCUGGCAAAGCUUCGGCUCCACUCCCACAGCAGCUCAACUGGGGUAUAAGCUAAGCAUCUUCUCCUUCUGGAUCAUUUUUCUUCAACUGAGAUUUGAUUGAUUAUUGCAAGGUGAGUACAUGGAAUACUCCGCAAGCCACACAGCAAAUAUGCAAGUGCACACGGAUACCAAAGGAUGGCAUAAUAUAGGCUCAUUUGCAAAAGCAGCAUUUAGCAAACAUUUAGGAGUAGUAAAUAAGUAGAGUAAUUAAUCAUCAAUAUUAAUCAACACUGAAUAGCACACCCAUGCUGCAGGCCCAACCAAACCUGAACAACCAACCCCGGUCGUACAGAUCAAACCUCUAAACCAGGAAUUUACCAUUCCAAACCAGGAGUCAAAUUAAUUAUCACAUUAUUAUCAUUAAUGAGUAGUGUGGGACUAAUCACGAAAAACAUUGCUCAACCCACCCAUAACCGCGGGCAUGGCUAUUCAAAUAGUUUUACUCUGGCCAGAGGUGUACAAAUUUACCCACAAGACAUAACUCCACAAUAUGUCACCAUAUCACCAUGUGCCCAUGCUGAACAUGCCACCAUUUGUGUAGUUGUGACAAGACCCCUCGCAUAGCUCAACUCAAAGCAGCGCACCUUUCCUGGAUCAUAAUCACCCCCUCUACAACCAGAGGCGUGGACUCCCCAGCGACCCCCACGGACUUCUCGCCGCUUCACAGUCUAGCGCCCCACAAUGAGCCUUGCUAUACAAAGUGUCCAGCCGUUGCCCAUUCUGGCUUGUGAUUAGUACGGUUAAUGUCUCACAACAGUAGCUUGCGAACCGGUCCUUAAUUGUCAUGAGCAUGACCUUCAAAACCAUGUGCUCACAACCCACCAUUAUCAAGUUUUAAUUAUCAAUUAUUUAUCACAACACGAUUAACCAUCGUGAGCUACCAUAAAGUAUCCAUCAUUAAGUAAUAGUGAAACAUUAAUCAUCCCAAUAGUAUGCUAGUGUUUCUAAGCAUGACUAAGCAAUUAUUCUAAUAUAUAGUCGAACCAAUAUAUAAAGUCCAACUAGUCAAAUUAUAACCCAAGGUAUCAAAGAAUAGGGUAAUCAAUGCAAAUUGGCCAUAACAAAUGAAUAGGUUCACACCACCCGGUGACAUUUAAAAAUAAAUGCAUAGUUGAAAUAAAUAGAGAAUUUAAAUAUAGGAGCAACAUGCUCAAAUGAUUGUGUUUAGGAUCUGUGUGACUUGCCUUGCAAUAAUCGGUCUUCAAUUAGUCUUCUUGAACACUUCUGACGCACUCACGAACCUUCACAACGACGGAAAUGACAAGCUAACAUUUAUAACGGAGAAAAAACUAAUAAAAACCAAAUAAACAGUACUAAAAAGUAAACAAACAUGUAGAUCAUGAUUUUAGAUGAAUUUAGAGACUUGAACGGCCUCAUUCCGACUUCAUAUGAAUUAGUUAUGAAUUUUACAAAAUUAAUUCCAAUUAAACCUAUUAAAGAAAACACUAUUCCAAAUUGAUUAAACAAUUUACAAACGAUUUAUACUGAGAUUAAAGAUUAAAACAUCCUCCGAAAAUUAUUGGAACUAAUUUAGUGGAUGAUAUAUAGUAAAAAGAACUAAUAUGCCAUUGAAAAGGGAUAACAUGAUUUAUAUUGACUUUGGAUGGCUGAGAUUAAUCUUGACCGAGUCGACCAAGAUCGGAUGGUUUGGAUUGAUCUGGCAAGCUGGCCUCACGAGAUACCGACUCAACGAGUCAAUUCUACGUGACACGGGAUCACCGAAAUGAUUAACCGAAACCGGCGGCUCUGAACGGCUCUAAACUAAAGGACGACUCAACAUGGACGAACGAACGAAGCACGGGGAACACCUCGUUCGAACGAACGAGCAAACGACUCAACAAUGGUUGCGGCUAAACCGAUGAGCUAGACACGAUUCACGGUAAAACCCUGGUACGACAAACGAUAGGCCGGUAGAAACCUAGGGAUGCACCUACGGCUUUGCAACUCGGCUAACGGACUACGGGAAGCAAACAAACCACGAUGACGAUGACGUGGGAUAGAGGCGGCGUUGCACAAUUUGGAGCAACGACUAAGCAGCGACAGUGACACGGUUUAGCAGCGGCACGACUGCGUCAACGACUUGGCAAGGCGCGGCAGCAGCAACGACUCAACAAUGACUUAGCAAGAUGGCUACCGAGCUACGGCAACGCGGCAGCGACACAACGCAGCAGCAAGUGGCUCGGUCGCUGCGGUAGCGGGACGACAUCGACUUUUGGCACGCACGAGCAGCAGCUACACAGCUGUGGCAGGGAGCGGUACAACGGCGGCUAGGCGGCUAGCGCAGCGGCAAUGCUAAGCCAACAGCUAAGCGCGGCACGGCGGCGGCUACUCAACGACACAAACAAGAGAUUAAAACCUAAACUGAGGGAACACAGAUAGAAACCUCACCAAACCAAAGCGAUCGGAGAGGGAGAGACGGCGAUGACUACCCGGCGGCAACACACGGAGACGACGAUGACGCUAGACAUACAGCGGAUUAGAUUAGAUUGGAUUAAUACCCUAGGAAAAAAACCUAAAUCGGUGAACGGCAUGGGAGCGGUGGUUGCAGGCGAACCACGGCACAAUAAUGCAAACGAGGGCACCGGGAGAAAGAGAAGGCGACGGCGAUUCUUACCAACACUUAUGCGACGACGAACAGUGAAGGAGAUGGCCGGCGACGGACUCCAAAGGGCGGCGAGGUUCGGGUCCACGGCAGCGACGAUUUUCCGGCGACGAGCAGCGGCAACGGAUGGAUGGACGGGCUUCUCCCCGGCUGCGACGCUGUGGGUGGCGACGGCAAAGCUUGGCGACGACGGAAGGAGCAGUAGGGCCUCGCCGGAGAUCAAAACGCGACGGCGAACUUCGGGUUGACGGCGACGAUGGAGCUCCGGUGGGUUUCGGCUACGGGGAAGGGGUGGACGGGGUGGAGCUUGACCUUGCGGAGCCGAGAGAGGCGACGGCGUAGGUCGUCGACGGCUGAGGCGGCUGCUAGGGGCGGCUGGAGCGGCUGCCGGCGGUGGACGGAGAAGACGAACGCGGCGACGGCGCUACAAGCGACGGCGGAGAGAGGGAGAGGUGGCGGCCGAAAGAGGAGAGGGAGGGAACUCUAUUUAUAGCCAUGGGAGAGAGAUAUCGAUCCUACAACGAGAGAAUCGAAGCCGGGAUUUUCUAGAGUUUGGUUUGGAGAGAUAAACUCGAAAACGAAUCCAAAUUCGCAUCGAAUUCAAAGGGAUAAAACCGGAUUUUUGGGGGAAGAGAUAGAGGAGGAUAAGGGGGAUAUUUUGCCUCAACUAAUUUUGGAAAUACACGAGAGAGGAGGCCGGAGUUGGAGGGGGAAGGCGGCGGCAAUGGCGGCAUCGGGCUCUGUCUCCGGCCGGCUGGAGGUUAGGGGCGACUACUGUAGCAGAGGGAAGGAAA